UUGCUUAGGCAGCAUACAUACUAAGACUGGAUUGAUACAGAGAUUAGCAUGGCCCCCAUGCAAGGAUGACACAGAGGUUUGUGAAGUGUUCCGUAUUUUU
rnacentral:snRNA from 1 species